rnacentral:rRNA from 1 species
UAGGGAAUCUUCCACAAUGGGACGAAAGUCUGAUGGAGCAACGCCGCGUGAGUGAAGAAGGUCUUCGGAUCGUAAAACUCUGUUGUUAGAGAAGAACACGAGUGAGAGUAACUGUUCAUUCGAUGACGGUAUCUAACCAGCAAGUCACGGCUAACUACGUGCCAG